CGUUUGUAAAGUUUUAAAAGUCCUAGAAACCGACAGUUAUGGUGGCUAAAGUUGUUUAGAGUUGUGUUUUGUGCUUUCAAUUAAUGUUUCCGUAUUACAACAACAUAUUAAAAUGACUAAUCAGUGGGAAACUAUUUUAGUUGAAUGGGUAAACUGCUUAAACUUAUCCAAAACUAUAGAAAGCAUAGAGGAACUUAAAGAUGUAGACUUUUUUAACAAUAUACAGAAAAUUUUAAAAAAGUCCGAUGAAUUUGACGUAUUAACAUUUAUAUUUGACAUAUUUUCCAAAUAUUACCCAAAGUUCUCUUUCAAAAAUAAGUCAAACUUACAUAUUUCUGAUUUAUCUAAGUCAGAAGUAAGUUCGAUAACAUCUCUAUUAAUGCAUUAUACAUGUAUUUAUGAUAGAAGAGAUGUAUUAACAGUACCACUGUGUAAUACUUUAGAUCAAAAAACACAAAUACACAUUAGAAACUUUCUCGAAAAAGUUACUAGCAAUAUAACUUAUGAGGAACUCCAGAGGCACAUGCAAAGUAAUUAUGAUGAAAAUGCAUUGGAUACAUCAGUGUGUAUGUCUGACAUUUGCUCACCUUUAAUAUAUCAAAGUCCUCUACAGGAUAUACUAAAAACACCUAGUUUCAAAGCUGGGAGGCUCCAAGUAAAAGACAGAGAGAUUAGCAAACUUAAAUCUGAACUUGAGCUAGAAAGAUAUGAAAAAGCUGAUCUACAAGAGGAGAUUAAACUACAAAUAGAAAAAAACAAAAAAUUGGACAAACAGCUUGAACAAAAGAAAUCAGAAAUAUCCAGACUAAGAGCAGAAGUAUUGUCUUUAGAGAGCAGAACUCCACCUCAUUAUCAAGACAGAGACUCGAGGGAAAUACAGAAGCAACUACGCAGUGAGAUACAAAGUCUGGAACAAUACAUCCAUCAGUGUGAUGAAGAACAUGAGCAACUUAGAAAGGAAAAGGAUGCAGCUAAGGAGAAGGUUCGAAAAUUGGAGCUGCAAGUAACACAAUGGCAAGAAAAGUUUUUCCUCACUGAGAACAAUUUUCAAAAACUGAGCGAGCAAUCGCGGGAACAGCAAACACAACUGGAAAACCUGCAACUCCACUGCAGUGAAUUAGAAGGAUUGCUGGACGAAAUACGCAGUAAACCGUUGAAUGAGAGUCUACUGGAUGACAAUUACUUGAACAGAAGUCUGGGGUUGACGCCGUCGUGCGAGGAUUUGGCGCACUCUGUCGUUGACGUUCAAUUGAGAGAUGUACAGAAACAAAAUGAGGAUUUGAAGAAUGUCCUGAAGGAGUCGCAGGAAACGGCUUCUAAACUUCACGUCCAAAUGGAGAAACUAAGUAUCAAGUUACAUGAAACCAAUAAUAGAUGUUCAGAACUGGCACAGGAAAAGGAGCUUUUUAUAUUGAAGAUAUCAGAACAAGAAAAAUGCAUACAAGAAAAAAUCGCAGAGUUAAACUGUUCUCAAAAUGAUUGUACACUAUUAAAGGAACAGAUUUCAAAAGCUUUAUCUGAAGUGUCUGAUCUAAAAGAAAAUUUGGAUAUAUUAACAAUUACGAAAAAUAAGUUGGAAAUUGAACAAAAAAAUCUUCAAGAAUUAGUUGAUGAAUUGAGAACAAAUCAAAAAAUCUCCGAGGCCAAUAUUUUAAAAUUAAAUAACGAUAAUCGAAAAUUAGAAACUUCAAAAUCUGAUUUAGAAAAUCAUCUUAAAAGCAGUCAAAAGGAUUGUGAAAUAUUUAAAACGGAAAUUCAAGAAUUGAAAGAGCAACUUUCAGUUUCUGUUGCGGAGAUAGCAUCUAAAAAUGAAAAUUUGGACAUUUUAAAUUGUACAAAAACUAAAUUGGAAAAAGAUCAAGAAAAUCUUAAAAAAUUAAUUGAUGAAUUGAAUGAUAAACAAAAAUCAUCUGAAGACAAUAUUUUAAAAUUAAAAGAAGAUAUUCUAAGACUAGAAUUUGUAAAAUCUGAUUUAGAGAAACAACUUGAAAGUAGUCAAACGGAAUGUGAAACAUUUAAGACAGAAAUUCAUGAAUUAAAAGAGCAACUUUCAAUAUCUGCGGCAGAGAUUGUAUCUAAAAAUGAAGAUUUGGAUAAUUUAAAUAAUACAAAAGCUAAAUUGGAAAAAGAUCACAAAAAUCUUCAACAAUUAAUUGACGAAUUGAAUGAUAAACAAAAAUCAUCUGAAGACGAUAUUUUAAAAUUAAAUGACGAUAUUCUAAAACUGGAAUUUGUAAAAACUGAUUUAGAGAAACAGCUUGAAAGCAGUCAAACGGAUUGUGAAACAUUUAAGACAGAAAUUCAGGAAUUAAAAGAGCAGCUUUCAGUUUCUGUCGCUGAGAUAGCAUCUAAAACUGAAAAUUUGGACAUUUUGAAUAAUACAAAAACUAAAUUAGAAAAAGAACAAGAAAAUCUUCAAAAAUUAAUUAAUGAAUUAAAUCAUAAACAAAAAGCAUCUGAAGACAAUAUUGUAAAAUUAAGUGACGAUAUUCUAAAACUAGAAUAUAUAAAAUCUGAUUUAGAAAAUCAUCUUAAAAGCAGUCAAAAGGAUUGUGAAACAUUUAAAACGGAAAUUCAAGAACUAAAAGAGCAACUUUCACUUUCUCAGACAGAGAUAGCAUCUAAAAAUGAAGAUUUAAACAUUUUGACUAAUACAAAAACUAAAUUAGAAAAAGAACAGGAAAAUCUUCAGAAAUUAUUUGAUGAAUUAAAUGCGAAACAAACGUCAUCUGAGGAUACAAUAUUGAAAUUAAAUGACAACAUUGUAAAACUUGAAACGUCUAAAUCUGAUCUAGAAAAAGAACUUAGUCUUAGUCAGACAAACUGUGAAACUAUUAAAACGGACCUUUCUGUUUCCUUAUCUGAAAUGACAAAACUUAAAGAAAAUUUGGAUAUUUUAAGUCAUGAUAAAGUCCUACUAGAAAAAGAACAGGAAACUCUUAAUGAAAAAAUUGUUGAAUUGAAGGCAGAGCAGCAGUCAUCGAACGACACAAUAUUGAAAUUAACCGACGAUUAUCAGAAAUUAAAGGUCAUAAAAUCUGAUUUAGAAAAACACUUCAAUAGUAGUCAAGAAAAUUGUGAAACAUUAAAGGUAGAAGUUUCACAAUUAAAAGAGCGAAUUUCCGAAACUUCAUCUGAAAUAGCAAGACUGAAGGAUAACUUAGAGAUUUUAGGGAACAGCAAAACAAGUUUAGAGAAGGAAUACGAAGAUCUUCAGAAAAUAAACAAUGAAAUGAUUUCUAAACAAAAGUCGUCUGACAAUACUAUCAUAAAAUUGAAUGAUGAUGUUCUUAAGUUAGAGACUUCAAAGUCUGAUUUUGAAAAACAACUUAAAAAUAGCCAAGAAGAGUAUAAAAUGCUAGAGUCGAACAUUUUAGAAUUAAAACGACAACAUUCUAAAUCUUUGUCUGAGGUUACAUGCUUAAAAGAGGAAGUAUUAAAAUUGAAAAAAGAAAAGGAAAGUUUUAUUGAAACUAUUGCUGAAUCACUGAAUUGUGAAUUAGAAAAACAACUAAAUGACAAUCAGAAAUAUUGUGCUACGUUUAAGGUAAAAAUUUCCGAGUUAAAUGAAAACUUGACAACUACCAAAAAUAAUCUCCAAGAAAGUAACAACAAAAUUUCAAAUUUGAAACAAGAAAUAACCAUCUCCAAAACAGAAAUUGAAAAUUUACAAGGUGUCGUUAAUAACAAACAACGUGAAAUAGACAAUUUAAAUGAUAAAUUGGCAUCUUUUGAGAACGAUGUUAAAAAUCUUCAACUCUUAAACAACAACAAACAGAGAGAGAUUGACAAUUUUGUAGAUAAGGCAACUAAAACUACUGAAGAAAUUGAAAAUCUGCGUACAUCAAUCAAGAAGAAGGAGGAUGAAGUUGAUCAGAAAGAAGAAUACAUAAAGUCUUUGGAAUCCGAUUUAAAUGAGUUGAAAUUAAAAGAUUCCAGUAGUAUUUCAGUUAUAAACAAUUUAGAAAUUGUUGUGAAUAAUUUGAAAUCAGAAAAUUCAGAGUUUAAAAAUAUCAUUCAUGGAAAUAAUGAAAAAAUAAUUAAUACUGCUAAGCAAGUGGAAGAACAGCAACAAGAAUGCUCGGCGUUCCAAUCAACAAUCGCCUCCUUGAAAUCGCAACUGGAAGAAUCUGAAAAGAAUAUUUCAAUUGCUAAGGAAAAUAUAAAACUUAAAGAUAUUGAUUUAUCAAAUAAUAAGGAAAUCAUUGCAAAUUGUCAAAACAUAAUUGACCAAAAUAAUGAUAAGAUCAGAGAAUUAGUUCAACUAAAUGAAAAUUAUCGAAACGAACUGGAUAGUAUUAAGGUACAACUGCAAAACUGUUAUGACACUUUACACAAGAAAGAUAUGAGAGUAGAAGAACUUAUGACAGAAAACGAGGAGCUUAAACAGAAUAAAGAGAUCUUGAACAAAGAAAUUGAAAAGUUAACUAUGGUAAAGGAAGAAUUGACAAAGUCUUGCUUCAGUUAUAAGGAAUAUUGGGAGUUAGAAGUGGAACAAGUGAAGAAAAUUCAGAAAGACCUGAAAAACAUUAACACCCACCUGGAGGAAGAAAAGAAUGUAUUUUUAGAAACAGUCUUGCAAAAAGACAACCAAAUUUCAGAAUUAGAAACGACGAUCUCUAAGCUGACGAAACAAAAGGAUAAUUUACUUACGGAAAUUAGUCAAGCUAAAGAAACUAUUGACAUCGUUCAAAGUGAUUUACAAAAUGAUAACAGCCUGCUUAAUCAAUACAAAGAGAGAACUAUGAAGAUUCUUAACACUGUUCAAGAAUUGUAUGGAAAUUUGAAUAGUGAUGAACAAGUUGAAAAUGACCUGAUACAGCAAUUGACCACCAUUGAAAACCAGGUGGUAAAAAUUAAAAAAGAAAACACAAAACUUCAAGAAGAUUACAAUAAAGUGAGAGAAAGUGAAUCUGCACUAAUAGCCAAAAGUAAUGUUUUAGAAGACAACAUUAUGAGAAUAAAAUCGGCUGUUACUGCUACAAACGACGAUUUACAUAACUUAAUUGCGUCAGUGAAGGAAAAAAUUACGCUAGAAACAUCUGACGAAUUAACAACAGACAGCAAUAACGAAGUAGAGAUUUUGUGCAAGUAUGUAAGGGAACUGAAAGGCUACAUAAGUAGUUUCUUGACAAGUGAAGAACUCUACAUGAUUGAAAUUGAAGGUCUGAAAGAAGAUCUAGAUGCCGCCUUAAACAAAUGCUCCGACGAACUUCAAGAAAAACGUGAACUCAAAAUGGAAAGCGAAUCUCAAAUAACUGAUCUGACCAGAAAUUUGCACGAGAUUAUUGAAAAAUACAACAAACUCGAACUUGAGUACAAAACAGUCAAGAAUAAAUUGGAGGAGUGUGAAAAUCAAAUGCAAGCCAAAGCAGAACUUGUACAAGAAUCUAAUCAAUUAAAGGAACAAUUGAACGCUCAAGAAACCAAAAAUCGUGAACUGACUGAAGAGAACGAAAAAUUAAAAGCUACCGUUCAAGAACAAGAGGAGCAACUUGCCAAAAUUAAAUGCGAUUUUGAGGAGCUCAACAUUAAAUUAACCAAGGACAUUAAAGACAGAGACAACGAGAUCAUUGUCUUAAAACAAACUAUUGGCAAUCUAGAGAUUAUAAUACAACAAAAGAAUUUAGAGAUUUUGAAACUCCAAACCCAAAUAGAAGAGUCUAAACGACACAUCGAUUUAUUAACCACACAAAACAGUAGUUUGAACACCUUAUUGAACGGUAACAAAGACCAACAUGUAAAAGAUGCACAAAAGAGAAAAUCAGAAUAUGAAAUUAUAAUUUCAGAACAUAAGAGCGCCUUUGACAAUCUCAAAACUGUCAACGAUAAGCUCAUGUUAAGUUUAACCCAAGCAAAAUCAGAAUUAAACACCGCCAACAGUUUAAUAGAAAGCACCCGAAAAGAGAAACAUGAUUUGGAGGAUAUUAUUAAAGAAACCAACGAAGUUUUGGAAGAUACAAUCAAAGAGAAGAAACAAUUACAAGAAGAAUUCGAGGCAGUGCAAGUCAAUCUCACGGAAAAAGACCAUUUAUUAACCGAAUUGAGAAACGAAUUGGACGAAACUUACCAGAAAAUUUCCGAUUUGAAGGGCAUACGGGAAGAACUCAACGUACAACUUGAAGUUUCCAGAAAAGAAACUCAGGAAGCAAUAAAAUUGAAGGAUGAGCUUUUGGAAUCACAGUCUAAUUACAUGAAAGAAAUCGAAGUGAAUGCGGCGCAUAAAACUUCUCUAGAGAUUGGUGAGUUAAGGAAACGCAAUGAGAUGUUGGAGAAAGAAAGAGCGGCGGAGAAAGAUAUAAGAAAACGGUUAGAAAUUGAAGUGCAGAGAGUCAGACAAGCGUACGGCAACGUUAUGACUGCCAAUUCCAGUUUGGAGUUGGAGAAUAGCAAAUUACGCACCUCUGUUAAAGAUAAAAAGGAGGAAAUUGGUAAUUACAUGCACAUUAAAGAGGCAUAUGAGAAGCUACUUGAAGAGAACAACAAACUAUUGACGGACGUCGAUACCUUAAAAUAUAAGCGGUUGAGGGAAAAGGAAGACAUUAAGGAUGUACUGAACAAGGACCGGGAGGAAACUGAACGUAGACACGAGAAGAGGAUUCAGGAUAUCAGAAUGGAAUACGAGGGCAAAUUGGAAAAAAUGAAAGAAAAAAUGUUAAAACUCUACAAAGACGAACAGACCAAAGCAAAAGCUGUGUUGGAAAGUCAAAUGUCCAAAGUACAGAGUGAACUUGCAGCUGCGGAACAGAAGAUUCAUCUAUUGGAAACUGAACGAGACAUGUUAAGAGAACGUGAAGUACAGAGAAGUUUACAUUCUUCCAGGGAAUCUUUGAGUCAGCGCUCUUCUGUUUCCGGACAAAACAGGUAUUCCAGCACAAGCUCCUUGAGAAGUAGACCACAUCAAACCACAUCCAGCUCGUCAAUAGCACAACGGGAUAAAAAACAACCUAGCACCACCAGCUUAUCUAGUCUUAGAGGAGGAAUAAGAGAAAACAAAGUAUCACCCGACUCCGGACGAGUUUCAAUCGCCAGUUUACCAAUUGGAAUUGGCCAAAGUUUACGUAUGGAGGAUGAAGAAGAGGCAAUGUUUAAUAAUAAGUACUUAUCAGAUUUGAAGGAAGGUAGAGGUUUUUUAACAGGCAGAGAAUCAACAAGUAGCCGACUUUCUACUUUGGCUAUGAGGAAUUCGAUGGUUCCGCCUCACUUGAAGUCUUCCUACCCCGCCGAGACUCAGUUCGUAAGUCCAUCUCACUACAAAGAUGACGAAAUUAAGACUGGGAACGUGGACUUGGACGAUAGCCUGUCGAAAUUGUUGCCAGGUGAAAAACAUGACAAGCGCCAGCGCAAGGACAUCGGAACGACCACGUACAAGAAGCCUGGUCCUCCAACGCCGAGCAAGAACGGCGGCAGACUGUCGUUGCAGGGCAACGAGGUCCAUCCUUUGCGCGAGUCCAACGACAAGACGCCGCUGAAAAAGGUGACGACACCCGGGCGUUUGAAAUCCCUUUUUUCGAGCAAGAAUGUCACUAGUUCGUUGAGGGAGAAUUCUGAGGGCAUUUCAGGAUGAACAUUUCUCAAUUUUGACGUUGAAUUUGCAUUUUUCAGUUUUUCACCCAUAUAUAUUGUAUAUAGUAGGAAGAAUACGGUUACACCAUCUAGGACCAAAAGAAGGAGCAUUUUCAGAAAGCCAAAAUAAUAACCUAUUGAUUGGGUUUUAAAUCUGUUCUUGUAUAUAUUUAUUUAUAUUUAUAGUGUGUAUUGAUUUAUGUUUGCUUGCUUUUAAGUUUUAUACAAAGCUUUUUUAAUAUAUUUUUACUAUUUUU